AGUAAAGUCAUCAGUCCAGGGCCCUCUAUCACCUGUAUUACAGCUAUGAGCUAGGAUGCGAAGGACAACAAAAAAGCCCCUGUGUGGCCCAGUGCGGUCACAAAGCUCACACCCAGCGCGGUCACAAAGCUCACACCCAGGGCUCCUAGGAGGGUCUGGCUGGCCUCGCUAGAGAAGUUUGUUCUUCAGUUACAUGCAAAUCAGGAAAGGCUUCUAGUGGUCUGAGUCUCAGCAGGAAACAGAUGCACACCCCUCAGGUGAAAGGCAGAGCGCAAAGCUGGCUCAUCCACACCUGUGAGUGGCAGCGCCUACUGCUGAUGCCAAACCAGAUCCUCCUGGUCACCAUGCUUUAUCUGUGUCUGGCCCCGUAAGCCAGUUCUCUGCCCGUCCCUGAAUCCCCAUGACUUUAGUCUCGUUUCUCACCUCCACAGGCAACCUUAGCAUAAAUGCUCACAGUUGGGGCUGCCGAGCAAGUCCUCAGUUCCUUACAAACCGCGCUGUGACCUGAGCCCCUUCCAGAGUGAGCAGGACGACACAGUCCCAUCCUCACAGAGCUUGCCUUCUGAUGAAGGGGACAAAUAGCCACCGCGCAGACAGAUGAGCGCACAGGUCAUUUCAGAUGUGAGCAAGCACUACAAGGCAGUGAAAUGGGGUGGAAGAUGAAGGAGUGGGGAGGCCUCUGUCAGCCAGGCUGGAUGGAAAGGUGGCCUCCGGGAGAUGACACUUGGGACAGGCCUGUACCAUGGCGGCCAGCUCGUUCUCAGGCUGGCCCUACUCCUCUGUUCCCAGGCUCUGCCAGAGCCUUCUGCAGUGUUUGCAUUCCAGACAUGAGGCUGGAGCCAGGGGCCAUCUAGGUAAAGAGCCACAAGUAAACCUGUCAGCACCAUAUACUUGAGACUGUUUUCCUGCUUGAUGACAGAGGACGUGCACCUUCACUGAGGCAGAUCUGGGAAUAUCGAAAACAGAAAGAUGAGCCACUUACGACGCUACUACUCAGAGAUAACUACAACUACGGACCCUUCCAACAACAACAACAAAAAACCCCGAAAAAACAAAACAAAAACAAAAACUGCGGACCCUUCCAGACACUUCCUAUGCCUACAUAAAUGUGUUUUAGAAAGUGAGAUUAUGUACAUUGUGUUUUGUGACCUGAAUUUUGAUUAAUCAGUUAUAAAAGUCUUCUUGGGUCA